UAAAAUAUGAGCUUCAGUGGGUUCACCAUUUUUAAAGUUCAGGGCUUUGUUGGCCUUGAAGGUGCGUUUCAGGCUGUUAAUAAAUAUAUUUCUCAAUGUGUUAAACUAACUAUCUACUAUUCUCCUAAAAGCGACAGUAGUUUAGGAACAAGGGAGUUUAUUAAUUCAAAGAUUGUGGCAUUCGCAAAUAAGAAUCCACAAAUUUCCAUAGAAGUAAGAAUUAAAAAUCAUCCUUACGCAGUAGCAGAAUAUAUUUGCGGGAGAAAGAAACCAACUUCAUUGAGUAACAUGACAAUGGAAAAAGUCGAGAAGCAAAUUAUGCUCCUUCGGAACUCCAGCGGGCUGCUCUACCAGCCUUACACCAAACCGAAACAAACGCGAAACGUUUUUUCCGUUCAAGGUCAAUGGCAUCCUACCUUAAACGUUGUUUAGUGCAACAACGAAUUCAACGUAGAGA